rnacentral:lncRNA from 1 species
UGUGGUGGAAGUUUCAAUGCAGUGGAGAAUCCAAGGCAAUCCUACCUGGGAAGAAGAAAAUCAAACCAAAAAUAAAAAGAGAAUUGCUAUUAUGAUACCGUAAAUUAGAAUUGACGAUUCCAUGUCUAAUCCUAUCCACGAAUCGAGAACUGAACUAAUUACUAAUUUUUGGAACCAGGGCCGGAGCCUGUCUGAUCUAAUAAAAUGGGUCACUAAAAACGAAACCUGAUGGCUAGCCUUAGAUCUGGGAAGAAGAGAAAAUAGAAGAGGCCUACUUCCUAAAUCUUAUUUCUUUUGGUGAAAAAAUAAUACUUUUAGCAUGAAUGCAGGCCCCGCAAUCAGAACCUUUUUUCCUUCGUCCUAGAACAAUAACGAACUAUGAAAGACGCGUGUAGGUAUUUUUAUGGCAUUGGAUAACAGUUUUACAUCAUCUCAUUCAUUUAGAUCAUAAUAUUAGGUAAGGAUAUAGUGAAUUUUUUGAGAGAGCACGAGAAAUUCUCAAGUUUUCAGUUUUAUAUUUGUAUAAAUAGAUAAUGUUUAGAACUUAAAUAAAGCUUUUUUAACCAUAGAAACUUAAAUAAUUCUAACUCCACAAAGUUUUUUUGGUCAAAAAAUUCCACAAAGUUUAUAGAGCUAUGUCCUGACCUACAUAGUAUCAAAAGUAGUCUCAUCUUUCGUAUUAUUAUCAUUUUUAGAAUAAAGUACUUAAUUUCAAAUAUAUAUCGAAAUCAAUAAAUUUGAAUUUACUUUCUUUAUAUUAUGAAAUGGUCAUGCUCUUGCAUGUUAUAAGAUGAUUUUAUUACUGUGUUUGGACAAAAUGAUAAUCGAGGAGGGUACAAGCUCCUAUGUACACGCUUAUAUGGUGAUUAUAUGCACAAACAUUCUAAGAAAGUAAACUUUUGAUCAUCAUAUUCUUGUGAAUUAGAUUUUAAUCCUAAUAAAUUAUUUUAGAGACAAAACUAAUCAAAAACAUAUUCAUUAGAUUGAUUAAAUGCUUUCAACCCUUGCAGAAAUUAAAUUCAUUUCCCUAGAUAAUCUAAAUCAAUCACAUAUUUGUGUGCCCUUUUUUGCUAGUGAAUUGGAUUAGUGAACUAAUCUACGCAGACUGAUUCCCAAUUUUCUGAUCAAACACGAUUUCGUCUUGGAUAUAAUUUUCCAUGUCAUUUUUUAACGUGGAUUUUUUAAUGCUACGUCAAACAAGUAACAAUAUUUUUUAACGUGGAUUUUUUAAUGCCAUGAUCAUACCUGCUUUGAGUCAAAAAAAAUGCUACUUUUAUCUCCUGGUUUUUCGACUCCAAAAUCCGAACUUCAGGUGCGCUUCUGAAACACAACCACCCAACAAAAAGAAGCAAAACACCAAAAAAAAAAAAAAAAAAAAAAAAACCCAACUUUUAUUCAUCACAUAAUAAAUGUCAAAGCAAAUUUAAAACAAUCAAAACAUGAAGAGCUUAUCAUGAAAUUGCUAGAACCCAGAGAACUGUGAACAAAAAUACGUUGCUUCUAAAUCUUUCAAUUCAAAGAACCUCGUACAAGAGAAUAGAAAGGCAUGAAAAAAUUCAAGAAUGGAUGCUGGAAAACGUAUAUUCGAGAAAAAGCCCAGCCAAAACUCUGCUGGGGACAGACAGGUAUAAAUGCAUAGAUAAGGUAAGGGGAGCAUUUCGAGCGAGUUCGAGAAUGUUCGAGGAUUUGACGGCACUAUUUGAGAACCCACCGCUUUAUGACACUGGUAAUCUUCUCAAGCAACCGCUUUUACCCACUACUUCGAUUCCGCAAACGGGGAGAAACCCACGAGGAAAGAAGAAUUGCAGGGAACCCCAGAUUGCAGAUUUGUUGUUAAGAAGAACGGGAAGCGAGAGCACGAGCGGUCCGUACGUCGAUGGCGAAAGUGAGAGCACCUCCAAAAACGACACGAGACGAGCUACAACAGGAAGAAAUUGAACGAACAGCAAAACGCAAACGAUCUACGACUAACCCUCUCGCUCAAUCGAGCGACAAAUCAAACCCUAAUAAAAAGGCAAAGGGGAGCAAUGAAAAACAAAGCGAGAAUCGCCACAGAGAGAGUAAGAAUUGCCAAGGAGAGAGACGCCUACCGUUUCUUAAGACUAGUCGCGGCAACAAAGGAGAAGGAAAGGUGUCGCGACUCUGUCUUCUCCGGCGAACUAUGCGAAGAGGAGGAGGAGGAGAAACAAACUUCACAAGAGAGAACAGAGAGAGACAAAAAGACGCCUGCCAAGAAGUUUUAAAAAGGAUGAGAAUUAAUAACCAAGCUCCGAUAAAAUUUCGAUACCCAUAUAACGGUGGAUUGUUGGGAAGAUGAGUGGAAAGAGACUUUGGACGAGUCUUCGUUGAACUUAC